CAGCACCUCAAGUGGUCAGGAUGAUUAUUGGGCCUAAAGCAUCCGUAGCCGGCGCUGUAAGUUUUCGGUUAAAUCUGUACGCUCAACGUACAGGCUGCCGGGAAUACUGCAGCGCUAGGGAAUGGGAGAGGUAGACGGUACUCGGUAGGAAGGGGUAAAAUCCUUUGAUCUAUUGAUGACCACCUGUGGCGAAGGCGGUCUACCAGAACACGUCCGACGGUGAGGGAUGAAAGCUGGGGGAGCAAACCGGAUUAGAUACCCGAGUAGUCC
rnacentral:rRNA from 1 species